AAAUCCCUGCUGUGUGCGUGUCUUGCCGUAAGUUUUUGCCAACACCAAAAACUAGGGAAUUCGUCUCCGUAUGUGGCCUGUACGCCCGGUUAACCGGGACACAUAAAGCAUGUGGGAGAAUACCCACCUGUCGAGGACAGGUUUAAACUACGGCUACCACGGCUCGGUGGGGUUUUU
rnacentral:other from 2 species